AAUAGCGCCGCGUGGGGCUGCGAGGAGACCGCAACGCGGCUUGGUCAAGGUCUUUAGUUUCCGCGACGGUCAAAUUUCGGCCCGAAGGGAAAACCGCCGCCACUGUUCGGGACCUCCGUCGUUGACUCCAGUCCAGUUUAUUCUCUUACCAAAUCCUUCGAUCCAUCCUCUUACAAGGAGAAAACGAUCCCGUCCACAUCACCACCACCCACCAAACCCCUCGGUUUCCUCUGGACUCGGCCUUUGAAGUCUCUUCGCUUCCUUUCUCCAACUUCAUCAACUUGUCUCGCAGAAAGAUUGGAUUUUGGGGAUUCCGGAGCGAUUGAUCUGGCUUCCAUAUGAAGUUUUUCGGUGUUUCCGGGGGGUAGUAUGUCAAUAAUGGCUCUGCAUCUUCUAGUUUUGGUGAUUUUGGCCCAGUUUCAAUGGAAUUUGGUUGCUGGGUCGUCGGUGACCUAUUUGAAGGAUUGCGGGACUGAUCGUGUCGGCUAUUUGAAGUCGACUCAUCUGUAUGAAUUCUUUAUCGGUCUGAAGAAGGCGGAAGAUGUCGGUUUGAUCUGUAAGGAGUUAGAGUUGUGUUUCAGAAAUGGGUGUCCGAUCUGUGGCUCGAAUGAAGAGGUGUGGGCGAGAAUUGGCAGGGAGUACUGCAAUCGGGAUUUAUCGGUCUCUGCCCGUCUGGAGACCGAUAUAGUUUCUGUGAACCUACUUAGAAGGAAAGGGAGAAAAUUAUUGCUUCAACCGUUACCAAAAGGUACCAUCCCUGAUAAGGUAGGCAAAAUGAGUCAGACACAGGAGAAACAGCAGCAUAAUGAUUUUGAUUUGGCACCGGAUCAUCUUAUGCUCGCUGUACCAGGAAUAUUCCUUCUAUGUUGCGCUGUACUUUGUCCUUGCUUUCACACAAAAAGAAAAGAUGUGAGUGAGCAUCCUGUUCUACCCAGAGGUGUGCAUUCGAUGGAUUCGGUUUCCUCUUUUGAAGUAAGCUCAACCCCUGAAAGAACACCAGGAAAUUCACUAAGAACACCUCCUAGUCCAUCUCGAUUUUCACUAUCUCCUCAAUCAAGUACCAUUGGACCAUUACAUCUCAGCAUCGAUCAGAUUAGCAAACUUACUCAGAACUUUUCAUCUUCACUAAAAAUAGGUGAAGGUGGUUUUGCAAUUGUCUACAAGGCCGAGCUGCCAGAUGGUCAGGUUGUUGCUAUUAAGCGAGCAAAGAAGGAACAUUUCGCUGCCCUACGAGCUGAAUUUAGUAGUGAAGUUGCACUUCUCACCAAAAUUGAACAUAGGAAUUUGGUCAAGUUACUUGGCUACACUGAUAAAGGAAAUGAACGUAUAAUCAUUACUGAAUAUGUUUCAAAUGGUACUCUCAGGGAACAUCUCGAUGGUAAGGGUGGGAAGAUUUUGGACUUCAGUCAACGGCUAGAAAUAGCCAUUGAUGUUGCUCAUGGAUUGACAUACCUCCAUCUAUAUGCAGAGAAACCUAUAAUUCACCGAGAUGUCAAGUCAUCAAACAUUCUGCUGACAGAAAGCUACAGAGCAAAGGUGGCUGACUUCGGAUUUGCAAGAACUGGUCCAAUGGAAGCAGAUCAGACUCAUAUUGAGACCAAAGUGAAGGGCACAGCUGGAUAUGUGGACCCAGAAUACCUUAAGACAUUUCGCCUCACACCCAAGAGUGAUGUUUACUCCUUUGGCAUCCUGCUUUUAGAAAUCCUAUCCGCACGUCGUCCAGUAGAAGUGAAGAGAAAGGCCGAUGAAAGGAUAACUGUUAGAUGGGCCUUCAAGAAAUAUAACGAAGGCAAUGUGAGAAGCAUAUUGGAUCCUCUGUUAAAGGAAGUGGUAUAUGAGGAGGUACUAAAGAGGAUUUUUGGUUUAGCCUUUCAGUGUGCUGCUCCUACCCGCAAUGAUCGACCUGCAAUGAAGGAAGUCGUAGAACAGCUGUGGGAAAUAAGGAAAGACUAUGCUAGGAGUCAUAGGAGAGCAUGAAAAGCAGCUCCACUCAUCUACAAGUUUGAUGUCAAAAAUAUUGAUCUGCAUGAUAGGGGAUCAGCUUUUUGUAUCAGCUUGGUGUCUUUUCUAGUACACGAUGUCUCUGGCAUGCAGAUGCCUUAUCAAGUUGUUCUUACAUUUUUGUAGAGAGCAUAACCUUAUUUGGAGAACGGACAGGUUGAGAGAUGCAACGACAAUCAUUGCAUAUGUUGAUCAUCGUAUCCAGAUUGAUGUAUACAUUAUGAUACUGUAUGGUAUGUAAACAUGAACUGUGAAAUUUUGGUUAUUUGAAACUCGUGUAAUUUGAUGCCAUCAUGGAUCUCGGAGCAGCAAACCAUAAA